rnacentral:rRNA from 1 species
UACAGAGGUCCCAAGCGUUGUUCGGAUUUACUGGGCGUAAAGAGCGCGUAGGCGGCUCGUUAAGUGUGAAGUGAAAUCUCCAGGGCUCAACCCGGAAACUGCUUUACAUACUGGCGAGCUGGAGUGAUGAAGAGGUUUGUGGAAUUCCUGGUGUAGCGGUGAAAUGCGUUGAUAUCAGGAGGAACACCCAUGGCGAAGGCAGCAAACUGGUCAUCAACUGACGCUGAGGCGCGAAAGCGUGGGUAGCAAACAGG